rnacentral:rRNA from 1 species
AACCCAGUGCAAUUCGUUGCACUAUCGUUAACUGAAUACAUAGGUUAACGAGGCGAACCGGGGGAACUGAAACAUCUAAGUACCCCGAGGAAAAGAAAUCAACCGAGAUUCCCCCAGUAGCGGCGAGCGAACGGGGAGCAGCCCAGAGUCUGAAUCAGCUUGUGUGUUAGUGGAACGGUCUGGAAAGUCCGACGGUACAGGGUGAUAGUCCCGUACACCAAAAUGCACAGGUUGUGAACUCGAAGAGUAGGGCGGGACACGUGGUAUCCUGUCUGAAUAUGGGGGGACCAUCCUCCAAGGCUAAAUACUCCUGACUGACCGAUAGUGAACCAGUACCGUGAGGGAAAGGCGAAAAGAACCCCGGCGAGGGGAGUGAAAAAGAACCUGAAACCGUGUACGUACAAGCAGUGGGAGCACCUUCGGGUGUGACUGCGUACCUUUUGUAUAAUGGGUCAGCGACUUAUAUUCUGUAGCAAGGUUAACCGUAUAGGGGAGCCGCAGGGAAACCGAGUCUUAACUGGGCGUUAAGUUGCAGGGUAUAGACCCGAAACCCGGUGAUCUAGCCAUGGGCAGGUUGAAGGUUGGGUAACACUAACUGGAGGACCGAACCGACUAAUGUUGAAAAAUUAGCGGAUGACUUGUGGCUGGGGGUGAAAGGCCAAUCAAACCGGGAGAUAGCUGGUUCUCCCCGAAAGCUAUUUAGGUAGCGCCUCGUGAAUUCAUCUUCGGGGGUAGAGCACUGUUUCGGCUAGGGGGUCAUCCCGACUUACCAACCCGAUGCAAACUACGAAUACCGAAGAAUGUUAUCACGGGAGACACACGGCGGGUGCUAACGUCCGUCGUGAAGAGGGAAACAACCCAGACCGCCAGCUAAGGUCCCAAAGUCAUGGUUAAGUGGGAAACGAUGUGGGAAGGCACAGACAGCCAGGAUGUUGGCUUAGAAGCAGCCAUCAUUUAAAGAAAGCGUAAUAGCUCACUGGUCGAGUCGGCCUGCGCGGAAGAUGUAACGGGGCUAAACCAUGCACCGAAGCUGCGGCAGCGACACUAUGUGUUGUUGGGUAGGGGAGCGUUCUGUAAGCCUGCGAAGGUGACCUGUGAGGGUUGCUGGAGGUAUCAGAAGUGCGAAUGCUGACAUAAGUAACGAUAAAGCGGGUGAAAAGCCCGCUCGCCGGAAGACCAAGGGUUCCUGUCCAACGUUAAUCGGGGCAGGGUGAGUCGACCCCUAAGGCGAGGCCGAAAGGCGUAGUCGAUGGGAAACAGGUUAAUAUUCCUGUACUUGGUGUUACUGCGAAGGGGGGACGGAGAAGGCUAUGUUAGCCGGGCGACGGUUGUCCCGGUUUAAGCAUGUAGGCUGGUUGUCCAGGCAAAUCCGGAUAAUCAAGGCUGAGGUGUGAUGACGAGGCACUACGGUGCUGAAGUAACAAAUGCCCUGCUUCCAGGAAAAGCCUCUAAGCAUCAGGUAACAUCAAAUCGUACCCCAAACCGACACAGGUGGUCAGGUAGAGAAUACCAAGGCGCUUGAGAGAACUCGGGUGAAGGAACUAGGCAAAAUGGUGCCGUAACUUCGGGAGAAGGCACGCUGGUGUGUAGGUGAAGUCCCUGCGGAUGGAGCUGAGACCAGUCGAAGAUACCAGCUGGCUGCAACUGUUUAUUAAAAACACAGCACUGUGCAAACACGAAAGUGGACGUAUACGGUGUGACGCCUGCCCGGUGCCGGAAGGUUAAUUGAUGGGGUUAUCCGUAAGGAGAAGCUCUUGAUCGAAGCCCCGGUAAACGGCGGCCGUAACUAUAACGGUCCUAAGGUAGCGAAAUUCCUUGUCGGGUAAGUUCCGACCUGCACGAAUGGCGUAAUGAUGGCCAGGCUGUCUCCACCCGAGACUCAGUGAAAUUGAACUCGCUGUGAAGAUGCAGUGUACCCGCGGCAAGACGGAAAGACCCCGUGAACCUUUACUAUAGCUUGACACUGAACAUUGAGCCUUGAUGUGUAGGAUAGGUGGGAGGCUUUGAAGCGUGGACGCCAGUCUGCGUGGAGCCAACCUUGAAAUACCACCCUUUAAUGUUUGAUGUUCUAACGUUGGCCCCUUACCGGGGUUGCGGACAGUGUCUGGUGGGUAGUUUGACUGGGGCGGUCUCCUCCCAAAGCGUAACGGAGGAGCACGAAGGUUAGCUAAUCCUGGUCGGACAUCAGGAGGUUAGUGCAAUGGCAUAAGCUAGCUUGACUGCGAGCGUGACGGCGCGAGCAGGUGCGAAAGCAGGUCAUAGUGAUCCGGUGGUUCUGAAUGGAAGGGCCAUCGCUCAACGGAUAAAAGGUACUCCGGGGAUAACAGGCUGAUACCGCCCAAGAGUUCAUAUCGACGGCGGUGUUUGGCACCUCGAUGUCGGCUCAUCACAUCCUGGGGCUGAAGUAGGUCCCAAGGGUAUGGCUGUUCGCCAUUUAAAGUGGUACGCGAGCUGGGUUUAGAACGUCGUGAGACAGUUCGGUCCCUAUCUGCCGUGGGCGCUGGAGAAUUGAGGGGGGCUGCUCCUAGUACGAGAGGACCGGAGUGGACGCAUCACUGGUGUUCGGGUUGUCAUGCCAAUGGCACUGCCCGGUAGCUAAAUGCGGAAGAGAUAAGUGCUGAAAGCAUCUAAGCACGAAACUUGCCCCGAGAUGAGUUCUCCCUGAGACUUUAAGUCUCCUGAAGGAA